GGGGCUUUGCUGUCUUGGUACCUUCAGGGCUUGGCUGUCCUCCCUCAUUGACUCAACCCCGUGUCAGACCUCAGUGAACGUCAGCCACGUCCUCCAUCUGGUCACUUGGCCAUUGGAGGGCCACCCAAGAGCUCCAGGAGAACCACCAUUAGCCCAUUCCUGUCCCGGGUUAAAGAGGACUCUAGAGGCUUUAUACCUGUCAUU
rnacentral:lncRNA from 12 species